CCCGCUGGAACUUAAGCAUAUCAAUAAGCGGAGGAAAAGAAACUAACAAGGAUUCCCCUAGUAGCGGCGAGCGAAGCGGGAAGAGCUCAAAUUUAUAAUCUGGCACUUUCAGUGUCCGAGUUGUAAUCUCUAGAAGUGUUUUCCGCGUUGGACCGCACACAAGUCUGUUGGAAUACAGCGGCACAGUGGUGACACCCCCGUACACGGUGCGGACGCCCAGCGCUUUGUGAUACACUUUCGAAGAGUCGAGUUGUUUGGGAAUGCAGCUCAAAUUGGGUGGUAAAUUCCAUCUAAAGCUAAAUAUUGGCGAGAGACCGAUAGCGAACAAGUACCGUGAGGGAAAGAUGAAAAGCACUUUGGAAAGAGAGUUAACAGUACGUGAAAUUGUUGGAAGGGAAACGCUUGAAGUCAGACUUGCUUGCCGGAGCUUGCUUCGGUUUGCAGGCCAGCAUCAGUUUUCCGGGGUGGAUAAUGGCGGUUAGAAGGUAGCAGCUUCAGCUGUGUUAUAGCUUUCCGCUGGAUACAUCCUGGGGGACUGAGGAACGCAGCGUGCUUUUAGCGGGGGUUUCGACCUCUUCACGCUUAGGAUGCUGGUGUAAUGGCUUUAAACGACCCGUCUUGAAACACGG
rnacentral:rRNA from 1 species